CUUCUACUUCCUCCGUGCAACAAAGGAUGUCUCAAUUUUGACUAAAUUUGAAUGCAUCUAUACACUAAGUCAUGUCUAGAUACAUCCAAAUUUUAACAAACUUGAGACAUCUUUUGUUGGACGGAGGGAGUACUAA
rfam:Brachypodium distachyon strain Bd21 chromosome 1, whole genome shotgun sequence.